CCUAGGUGUGGGAGUAAGAUUGAUUUUAAAAAUAGUUGCCAUUACUCAGAAAUAGAUAAAGUAAUAUGCCUUACUAUUAGUCAAGGAGCAGAAAUCCUACUCAAAAUAAUUUAAGCAAAGAGCAAUAUUUAGUGGUUCAUGUUCCUGGGGAGAAUAGGGAAGGCCCUGACCGUAGCUACUCUGAACCCAGGGACUCAAGGACAUUGAAAGGUCUUCUCAUUCUCUCUUUUUCUCUGUCCCUCUGCUUUGUGUAUAUAUCUUCACAGGUCUGUUUCUCUGGGUUUUGGCCUCAUUCACUUCUAUUUCUGCUAGGCCUUUUCAUGAGGCGUGCAAGCCCCUCUGGCUUCACUUCCUCUAGCUCCGUGACCCCAGAGCCAAAGGGCCCCUCGAGUACCUGCUGGGGAAGAACUUGGAUUUUCUCAACUUGUGUCACCUGCCCUAAUAAUAAUCCUUGGAUAAUUCCUCUGGCCAGGAAGUUGAGGUUCGGUCUAAAUCUGGGUUGCUGGCCUUAUGUUUUGUGGGUUGGUGAGUACUGUUGUGAGAAGAAGGAUAAGGUGCUGACUUUGGAAGCUCAUAUACUAAAAUUGGAACAGGCCAGGUGUCGUGGCUCACAACUGUAAUCACAGCACUUUGGGAGGCUGAGGCAGGUAGAUCACCUGAGGCCAGGAGUUUGAGACCAGCCUGGCCAACAUGGCGAAACCCUGUUUCUACUAAAAAUACAAAAAUUAGCUAGGCAUGGUGGUGUGCGCCUGUGAUCUCAGCUACUCGGGAGACUGAGGCAGAAGAAUCACUUGAACCCAGGAGGAAGAGGUUGCCGUAAGCCAAGAUUGCACUGCUUCACUCCAGCCUAGGUGACAAAGUGAGACCUUGUCUGAAAUAAAUAAAUAAAAUAGAAACAAUGCAGAGACAAUUAGCAAGGCCCUUGCACAAGGAUGUCAUGAAAAUGUGCAAAGCAUUCCAUAUAUUUUAUCUGAAGUGUUCUUAUCACGUACACACACAAAAACAUAACUAUGUCAGGUGAUGAUUAAUUAGCUUGAUUGUGAUGAUUAUUCCACAAUGCACAUAUGUAUCAAAACAUCGAGUUGUACACCUUAAAUAUAUACAAUUCAAAUUUGUCAGUUAUACCUUAUUAAAGCAGCAGCAGAAGAAGGGGUGUUACCAAACUGCCCAAAACUGUAGUUGCCACAGCCCCCUCUGCCCUUCCUGUUCUCUUUUUCCUGCCUUUCUAUACUUGGGAUCUUUGGCUUAUGUGUGUUAAAUUGGAUGUUAUGAAAAACAAGAAAUAUUCAAGCUUUCUAUGCAUUAAGAUUUAGUAGUAUAUAACCUUUGAUCCACUUUAUAUUUUUCAGUAGAGGGAACCAUGUAGAAUAGCUGGCAUCAGAAUUUUCUGGAUUUUUUCCUCAAGCGAUACCACUAAAAUGGAAACCUGAAGAUGUUUAUAAGCAAAUGUAGGCUAACAUUGAUUUAAAAAAAAGCCGCCAAUAUGCUAUAGCAGUGAAUGUUGCAACCAAAAUGAAUUUCCUUAAUUAUAAUCGGGUGAAUUUGGGACUAGGAAAAACAGCUUGUUUACCCAUUUAAUCACCACCUAUAGGUAAGAAGCUCAGAGAUUUUCCAGGUGAAUGAGGCCCCUGAUAAAUAUAUCUCUGUCUUGUGGACAGUAAAAUGAUUCAACAAAUGCCAUAUGUAGUGUUUAGCUCUUGAGGAGACCUAUGGCCUAGUUGGAACAUAUCCUAUGUGCUGUGCCUACUGGAGGGUAACAUGAACAGAUUGCUGGUAAUAGCUCACUCCACACAGUGUCUGUCAGAUAUAAAGUGCCAGGUCAAGUAGUGACCACAUGCAAUGUGGACACCAUGAUUUUUCCACUUCUCUCAGUUACUAAAAAGCUUAUAAGAGGCCGGGCAUGGUGGCUUACGCCUGUAAUCCCAGCACUUUGGGAGGCCGAGGCGGGCAGAUCACCUGAAGUCAGGAGUUCAAGACCAGCCUGGCCAACAUGGUGAAACUCUGUCUCUAUUAAAAAUACAAAAAUUAGAUGGGCAUGGUGGCGGGCAGAAGAAUCUCUUGAACCCAGGGGGCGAGGUUGCAGGUGAGCUGAGAUCAUGCCACUUAACUCUCGUCCUGGGCAAAAGAGCGAGAUCUGUCUCAAAAAAAAAAAAAAAAAAAAGAAAAAAGAAAAAAAAAGCUUCAAAGAGGAACAAAGAGAACAAGUUAAGUUUCAAGAACACUACCAGACAAUAGUAAAUUGUGAUAUGAUACUUGACCAUUAUAUUAUGAUGACUAAUUUAUAGCAGUGUGGAUUUUAAAAUCAACAGAUGGUAUCCAUUGAAAUUUUAAGUCUUUAUAACAGAAACUGUUAUAAUAAUUGAUAAACAGCAAUUUUCUGGCAUGGAAUUCCAUCAUUGAAUAUAUUCUGAAGAGGAGUGUCAUUAUAGCAAAAACAAAUUACUAUUCUUAUAUGAAAAAUAGUGGCUGUGUGUAAGUAGACAAGACAUAUAAAGGUGGAACAGUGUGUGAUAAAGUCAAAAUUCUGCUAUGGCCUAGCUGCUUGCUAAGAAUUGCACUUAGAGUACUGAAAAUAUAUACUGUUGAGUGUGUGAAUGAUAUACUAGGACCUUGCGACUUGAAGUACGGUAUGGGACCAGCAGAAUCAGUAUCACCUGGGAGCUUGUUAAAAAUGCAAGUUAUUUGGUCCCACCCCAGACCUACUGAAUCAGAAAUUCCGGAAGCUGGGCCAGAAAUCUGUGUCCUACAUGCCCUCCAGGUGCUCCCAGUGCAUGCUACAGUUUGAGAGGCACCAUUCUAAUUAGUUGCAAGCGCUCUCCUGAUGGCUUGUAGAACUGCCCAAGCAAGGGACUUGAGCCUGGAGAAGUAUGUGAUGUACAGGCUUCUCUUGCAGCAAUAAACCAACUUAGUAGACCACUACUGUUGCAAUGACUCCUCUCACCUAAUCGUCAAACCUAGAUGUUAGCUGGGUUAAAACAGCCUCAUUUUCUUUAUCACUUUUUUUUUUUUUGAGACGGGUUAUCACUUUGUUACCCAGGCUGGAGUGCAGUGGCAUGAUCUCAGCUCACUGCAGCCUCGACUGCCAAGGCUCAAGUGAUCCUCCUGCCUCAGUCCCUCAAGUAGCUGGGAUUAUAGGCACCCACCACCAUGCCCAGCUAAUUGUUGUAUUUUUCGUAGAGACAGGGUUUCGCCAUGUUGCCCAGGCUGGUCUCAAACUCCUGGCCUCAAGCAAUCCUCCCGCCUCAGCCUCCCAAAGUGCUGGGAUUACAGGUGUGAGGCACCAUGCCCAGCUCUUUAUUAUUUAUAUAUUAAUUAAAGACUAAGUUGUAGGAGGGUAGUUUUUGAACCAGUUAUCAAUUAGCAUCAGUAAAUAUCAGUAAAUAUUUAUUAAGUGUGUGUUAUAUUUUGUUCUAGCAGCAGCAAAAUAUAUACAAAGUGAACUGAAAGAUGAUUGUUGUUUAGCAUGUGGUUAAGGAGAAAAUAUAAACUUGAAAAAUUAAAUGGCAAUGUCAGAUAAUAACACAAGAGCUAUUCCUAGGCAUUAUAUGACAAAUUAUAAAAUAAGGGGAAAAUUCACUGAAAAGGAAGAGAUCCCCGGAUUGAAUAGGUCUGUGAAGACAUCACUCAAGUUUCCUUCACUGAGCAUAUGUUUAGGAAGUAGCUGCUCCAGGAAGGGCCUUGGGCAGGUGCUGGAGAGAAUGUGGAACUUGAACUAGACUUCUGGAAAAGGCAAUUCAAAUGGCAGGAACAUAACAAACAAAGGUAUCAUAUGAGAAGUUUACACAGCAAUUCUGGUUGCUCUGUCCUUGCAUAUCUCCAAGGAAACCUGGACCCAUGAUUGACUGUUGGUCAACCCUAGGUAUGUGGCCCUUGGAAGGUUCUUUAUGCUAACGUUGAUGAUUUUGUUGUAUGCACCUAGAGCAAUGAACCAUGACCUACUAGCUUGUCAGAAUUGCUUUGCACAAACAUCAAGACUGAUCAUGCAUGCCAGGUUUCAUUAUUAGGGUCCUGAGUUUCAGUUGCCAAGGAUGGUCAUGUAGUAGAAUGUACCUAUGUGACCAGACCUCCAUAAAAGCCUUGGGCCCUGAGACUUGCAUUGGGUAGAGAGAUACUGCUAGAAGGAAAGAUUGUCUUGUGUGGCUCUGGUUGGAAAAAACUUGAAAGCGUGUAUCUGACCUCUCUGGAUUUUACCUAAUGCCUAUCUUCUUUUUGCAACUUUUGCUGUCUACUUUUUGCUGUAAUAAGUCUUAGCCAUGAAUAUAACCUGAUAU
rnacentral:lncRNA from 10 species